UYCCGGUUGAUCCCGCCGGRAGGUUACUGCUAUCGGUGUUCGCUUAAGCCAUGCGAGUCAUAUGUAGCAAUACAUGGCGUACUGCUCAGUAACACGUGGAUAACCUGCCCUUGGGUCCGGCAUAACCCCGGGAAACUGGGGAUAAUUCCGGAUAACGCACAUAUGCUGGAAUGCUUUAUGCGUCAAAUGGAUUCGUCUGCCCAAGGAUGGGUCUGCGGCCUAUCAGGUAGUAGUGGGUGUAAUSUACCUACUAGCCGACAACGGGUACGGGUUGUGAGAGCAAGAGCCCGGAGAUGGAUUCUGAGACAUGAAUCCAGGCCCUACGGGGCGCAGCAGGCGCGAAAACUUUACAAUGCGGGAAACCGUGAUAAGGGGACACCGAGUGUCAGCAUCAUAUGCUGGCUGUCCAGGUGUGUAAAAUACACCUGUUAGCAAGGGCCGGGCAAGACCGGUGCCAGCCGCCGCGGUAACACCGGCGGCCCGAGUGGUGAUCGUGAUUAUUGGGUCUAAAGGGUCCGUAGCCGGUUUGGUCAGUCCUCCGGGAAAUCUGAUAGCUCAACUAUUAGGCUAUCGGGGGAUACUGCCAGGCUUGGAACCGGGAGAGGUAAGAGGUACUACAGGGGUAGGAGUGAAAUCUUGUAAUCCCUGUGGGACCACCUGUGGCGAAGGCGUCUUACCAGAACGGGUUCGACGGUGAGGGACGAAAGCUGGGGGCACGAACCGGAUUAGAUACCCGGGUAGUCCCAGCCGUAAACGAUGCUCGCUAGGUGUCAGGCAUGGCGCGACCGUGUCUGGUGCCGCAGGGAAGCCGUGAAGCGAGCCACCUGGGAAGUACGGCCGCAAGGCUGAAACUUAAAGGAAUUGGCGGGGGAGCAC
rnacentral:rRNA from 1 species